CUUGGGACCUUGUAUGUAAGAAAACAUUGAGUCAGAAGAGAGCGUUAGUCAUAGGGCUACUGAAACACAAGCUGUCUGCCUACGGAAGGCUCCAGAGUCCCUGACGCAUAUUUAUAUCUCCACUUCACUGAAGUCACAAGGAACAAACACACACCUGCCAUUUCCCAAAUCUCAUAAAACAUAUAAAUGGAUGAGACCAAAGAGAGGCAUGAGAUUCCAUUCUUAUGGUUCACAGGAAGCACCUGGCACACAGUAACUAUUAUUAAUUUCUGCACUGGAGGCAUCAGGAAAGCCUUCACGCUAUAGGGGGCCCUUUUAAGUUAAGAAGUUGGAGAGCAAGCCUCGGGGAAAGCAAAGAGAUAACUUAGUAGAAUGGAGCAACCAUACGGGAACAGUGAGAGUCCAUGGAUCUCCCUGGGCUAAGAUCAUGUAUGGAUUUGGCAAUCUGGG
ensembl:lncRNA ALKBH3-AS1 ALKBH3 antisense RNA 1